GUCGCCGAGGCGGGACCUGCAGGGGGAAUGGCCUGAGCCAGCCUGAGACCUUGGGAAAAGCUGAACCAACAGAGAAAGGACACCAAAAUCCACCAGCUUCAGCUGGUGUGAGGAGGAGACCAACGUCAGAAAUUCAACAGGAUGAUGGCAGGACAGCUUCUUGAAAACUCCAGCAGUAUUUCAUUCCAAUGGCCAUAAAGAAUGCAGUAACAUCAAGCCUCCUGGAUAACCUGUCAUGGCUGCUUGGGAAAACAGAGGACCAGAAGAGCGUAAAUCCAAGACUUGUGGAGUUGCCCUUUCCCCCAUCUAUGCUGUACAUUGGCAUGGUAAAAUUUACCACUCCUUGCUUUGCUGGCAAUUCCCUCCACGUGAAACUCAUCCCCCUUUGGUCUC